UACGGGGGGGGCAAGCGUUGUUCGGAAUUACUGGGCGUAAAGGGCUCGUAGGCGGCCAACUAAGUCAUACGUGAAAUCCCUCGGCUUAACUUGGAACUGCCGUUGAUACUAUCAUUCUUGAAUAUCGUGGAGGUAAGCGGAAUAUGUCAUGUAGCGGUGAAAUGCUUAGAUAUGACAUAGAACACCGAUUGCGAAGGCAGCUUGCUACACGAUCAUUGACACUGAGGCACGAAAAGCGUGGGGAGCAAACAGG
rnacentral:rRNA from 1 species